rnacentral:rRNA from 1 species
AACGAACGCUGGCGGCAUGCCUAACACAUGCAAGUCGAACGAGAUCUUCGGGUCUAGUGGCGCACGGGUGCGUAACGCGUGGGAAUCUGCCCUUUGGUUCGGAAUAACAGUUGGAAACGACUGCUAAUACCGGAUGAUGACGAAAGUCCAAAGAUUUAUCGCCAGAGGAUGAGCCCGCGUAGGAUUAGCUAGUUGGUGUGGUAAAGGCGCACCAAGGCGACGAUCCUUAGCUGGUCUGAGAGGAUGAUCAGCCACACUGGGACUGAGACACGGCCCAGACUCCUACGGGAGGCAGCAGUGGGGAAUAUUGGACAAUGGGCGAAAGCCUGAUCCAGCAAUGCCGCGUGAGUGAUGAAGGCCUUAGGGUUGUAAAGCUCUUUUACCCGGGAUGAUAAUGACAGUACCGGGAGAAUAAGCUCCGGCUAACUCCGUGCCAGCCGCCGCGGUAAUAC